UGCAGAGACAAAGCGUGGACGGUGCUUCUGUGUUGGAGGCCGGUUCUGCUCCGAGGAUGAAAGUGGCCAGUGUUCCGUCUCGCCCGGCCCGAGCUGCGCCCGAAAGGCGUCCGCUUAGGCGGGGCUGGGGACCCGUGGGGCGCUGCGUCGGAGCAAAGCGUCUCCUUGUCCCGGGCUGGCAGCCCUCCUCCGCCGCCCCUCGAGGGGCUCUGCCUCCGCUUUGCCCGAGCAAGCCGCCGCCGCCGCUUCCCUCCUCGAUGGACAUGAAGGGCUGCUACUCCGCCUGGCCGCCCUGGUGCCCACUCUGCCCCGCCACCGUCGGGCUCCAAGGUGGAGACCCUCCAGCACGUCAUCGAUUACAUCUGGACCUCCAACUGGAGCUCCAGCACCACUGGGAGCCGCUGGGAACCCCCAGCCAAGGGGCCCCGACGAGCCGGUAGUAGCCGGGCCCGAGGCUGCCUGUGUCAAUCCGGACGACCGCAUCUUGUGUCGCUGAUGGAGGGCCAGUUUCAGGGUCUAUAGGAAGAAGAUUCCCUGGGAAAGGCCAGCUUUUCCCCUCGUUGCCCCUCCAAUGGCAGGGGAAGGAGGAAAUGGCUGGUUGGUGAUGUGGCAGCUGUGUGCCUUCCUUCUACUGGACUUAGUCUGGACAAUGGCUACAGAAGUAGACUUUCUGGACACAUGAGAACAGAGCAUCGGAUGUGUCCCAGCGAAAAGUGGGGAAGCCAGAGCCUUGGGACUAGAGCUGAUAAACUGCGCCGCUUAAUGUUUAGUUGGAGCAGCAUGUCUUCUGUUUCUUUGUUUUUAUAAAAAGCAGAAUGUUAAACUUUCUUAAAAUACUUCUCAGAUUUCUGAGAAUCAUUCUUGUAUUGUAUAUUACAAUGUUGUAUUUUUCUGAGAAUAUUGUUCUACAAUAGUUUUGAGUUUUUGUUAUUAAACAAAUGCCUAUUGUUACAAAUAGGUGUAUUUUUCCCCCUUG